UGGAGGAGGAGAGUAUGAUCGGCACGGGUUCCAAAAGAUGCUUGACAAUUUUCAAGCAUUGCUUGGAGGAUUCAGUCUUGGAGACUAUUUUCCUUCGAUGGAGUUUGUGCACAGUCUAACUGGAAUGAAAUCGAAACUCCAGUACACCUUCAGACGGUUUGAUCAGUUCUUCGAUGAGGUGAUAGCUGAGCACCGCAAUUCUAAGGGAAAACAAGAGGAGAAGAAGGACCUUGUUGACGUUCUACUUGAUAUUCAGAAGGAUGGAUCUUCUGAAAUUCCUCUCACCAUGGAUAACAUUAAAGCUGUCAUCUUGGUCAGUGAAGAUUUUAUUGGUCUAGUUAUACCUUCAAGGCUUCAACUUCAGUGUUCCAAGCAUCAAAUUACUUGAAGAUGAGUUCAUUUGCACACAACUUACAACUAAAGGGUAUAAUUAUGGUUCUAUUGUUGCAGGACAUGUUUGCUGGAGGAACAGAUACCACCUUCAUAACCCUUGAUUGGGCAAUGACAGAGCUUAUCAUGAAUCCUCAUGUCAUGGAGAAAGCACAAGCUGAAGUACGAAGUGUUGUCGGAGACAGAAGAGUGGUGCAAGAGAGUGAUCUGCCCCGGCUGAACUACAUGAAAGCUGUUAUCAAAGAGAUCUUACGGUUACAUCCUGCCGCUCCAGUUUUACUCCCAAGAGAAUCUUUAGAAGAUGUUAUAAUUGAUGGCUACAACAUUCCAGCUAAAACUCGGAUUUAUGUCAAUGUCUGGGGAAUGGGGAGGGAUCCAGAACUGUGGGAAAAUCCUGAAACUUUUGAACCAGAAAGAUUUAUGGGCAGCGGUAUAGAUUUCAAGGGGCAAGAUUUUGAGCUGAUACCAUUUGGAGCAGGUAGAAGAAGCUGCCCAGCCAUCACAUUUGGAAUCGCAACCGUUGAAAUUGCUUUAGUUCAACUCCUCCACAGCUUUGAUUGGAAGCUUCCUCCUGGCCUUGAAGCAAAGGAUAUAGACAAUACAGAAGCUUUUGGCGUCUCAUUGCACAGGACAGUUCCCCUGCAUGUCAUUGCAAAACCACACUUCAAUUGAUGCAAGAAGUGUCAGGAUUUUAUUAGUCUGUCAACUAGAAUCUGUAAUUUUCUUUCCGAAUAAAAGUACUACUUGUGGUUUGCUUGUAAAAAGAAAGCAGAACUUGGGUACGACUUAACUCCUGCCUUAGUCCUUGCUGCUGGAACUUGGACACUAGAAUCAGUUAUAAGUUGUGUCACCUUUGCGCUUCAAUCAAUCAUAAUACUGCAAGGACAAAAUGCUUGUCUCUGAGAACUACUCAUUUCCUCAUGUCAGAUAAAUAAAUAAGAAAAAAAAAACCAUUUUCCUUCAUCAAAUGCAUUCUUUGGCUCAACAAAUGAGAUUAAGACAAAGGGGUUCAUACCAAAUGAAUGUCUACGAUGCAGCAAGUAGAUGCCUGAUCUGCUUUGCCUUGGAACCAGAUAGCUUGACAUUUCAAAAAAGAAAGGAAGCACCAUCCAUGACAUUGAGCACUGUUUAUGGAUAUUGAUUAUAGAGACACAUAAUUCAGAGCAUAUACAUCAUCUUACAAGGAAGAAACCCAUGCCUAGACACAACAUGAUUGAACAUUAAAGACAUGAUAUGGAGGUAUGUGCUUGGCAUUCUAAACUACUCUUGGUUUAAAAAUUGGGAUACCAUUCAAUCUCAUAUGUCAGUAAGAACGCAAAAAACAUGCUCUCUGGUGAAUCAAUCAACUGCCUUCAAGCUCAACUCGAUGUGAUCUUAUAUCCUGAAUACACGAUCCACUUGCUGAGCACCAAUAAACAAGGCAUCUGCAACAAGAAAUACUCCAACCUGUGCUGGAAACAAAGACAUUAAUAUCCUACUAAUCUAACAACUGGACUUUGCAGAUGAUUUUACAGAAAAAAAAUUAAGGAAAACACUAUGAUUACCAGACGAGCAGAGAACAAUAAUAGAUAACCCCAACCUUCUUUGACAGCAGCAGCCCUUUGUUGAUCUGUCCACCUGAAAGUCAUAGGGGAAUUAGCUAUAAAUUCAAAAAAUGGAAAGAUCAAAUAUAAGAUAACAGUUUGAAAAUUUAUAUGGCCAAAGACAUUCAUCUGUCAACCUAAAGUGCAUACUAGGAAUUUUUUAACAGGAAAAGAACGAGUCCCACAUGGAAGCCUGCCUACAAGCAGAUAUACUCAAAGUUACAUGGAUCAAAGUAAUAAAGCCAAUUUAACUUAUAAGUAUUUACAGGAAUUUGACCAUUCAUGUUCAUGGAAAGUCAUGGAUGUAUUUUCCACAUAUUUGGGCAUGAAAACAUCAUGGAAAAAACUUAUGUAUUCAAUGGUAACACAAACUUUUUCCCUGCAAAGUUAAAUACUAAAAGGUAGUAAAGACGAGGCAUGCCCCAGGAACUCAGAAACCCCAUCAAUUCCAGCAAACUUACAAGGUUGAGGGCCUUCACUGACAAAAUCCUUGUUUUGAAUCAUUAAACAUUUCUUUACUUGAUUAGCCAAAGAAAAGAAUUGCCCACCAAUUCUCUUAAAGCCAUCGAGUUUCAAUAUAUAUCAGUGUCCAUCUCAUGGUUUCCUUAUGUUGCAUUAGAAAAGAAAGGAAUUCUCAUCUUGAUCAUCCAAUCAAUGUGUUUACUAUUGCUUGGACAUCCAGAGAAUAUCAAGAACUUCUCACAGUUACCCAAGUUAUUUGAAGCCAAAAGUUCACUCCUUCAAAUAAAAUUAUUGCAUAAGAUGCUAUAAAGCUCAAGUCUAUGAAAUGAAUCAGACUGAAAUGUUUGAGUGGUAUCGUAUAUCCAUCUUAGUUACAUAAAAUCAAACAGUCGCAUCUCUGACUCAGUGAUAAAUUACAUUGUGCAGUCCACAUAUUGUAUAACAGUCUUGCUUGACAUUUAACUAGAAUAAAAUGAUUCUUCUGGAAUUAUAAGAAUCAGUGCAAACAUAAAAUGACAAAUUUACUCCUACAAAUGCAUAUUGAUAGAUUGAUAUCGGCAGUUAUUAAGCUAAGAGUUCACCUCAAUCCUCUCUGGCAUGCAACAAUAAGGUCUGCAUCUUUCGGGAACUUCUCCUCGACCUUUCCACCAACCUCCUACAAAAACACAAGCCAUGUAAGAUGACUGCACUAUGCCCAAGGAACAUUCUUCUUAUUUAAGUUUCUGUUCAGGUGCUCCAUUAAACGUGACAGCAUAUUAAGUUAGUAUGUAAAAGUAGUGUAGCAGAGCUUGCCGCGUUUUGUUAUAGAACUAGUUACAUGACCCGCGCGCGAUACCGCGGGUUAAUUUUUUUAUAUAAAAAAUAUAAAAAAAAUUAAGAUCUAAAACUAAAAGUGUUAGGUCUUUCAGCAAAACUAUACCCAAGAGUCUUGGGUUUGGCUGCAACGCCUGACCCAAGAGUAAUAUUUAUAAUAUUAAUAAUAACAUUAAACUUGCAUGAUCCAAAUUUAAGUGGGUCUGGCUGCAAUACCAGACCUAAUAGCCUUGGAUGUGGGUUUUGUUGCAAUGUCGUAUCAUAAAAGUGUGAUAAUUAAAUAGAUUAAUUAAAAAGAAAAAAAACCAAAAGAAAGAAAAAAACUAAUGAAGAAAAAAAAAUCUGAAUUAACUGGAUUAACCCUUUAAACCAGGUUAACCCGUCAAACCUUAGAUUCGUGUCGUGAAAGUUUGAUAACUAAAUAGAAAAAAAAAUUGACGGGUUAACCCAGAAUUAGCUGGGCUAACCCGUCAAACCAGGUUACCUCUUAAACUCGAGAUCCGUGUCAUGAAAGUUUGAUAACUAAAUAGAAAAAAAUUGAACAUUAACAAACUAAAUUAAACGAAAAAAAUUAAUUAAAAAGAAAAAAAACAAAAACAAACAAAAGGCAUCAACCUUUUACUAAUGAGGAAAAAAAAAUCAGAAUCAACUGAGUUAACUCGUCAAAUCAGGUUAACCAGUCAAAUAUUGGAUUCGUGUCACGGAAAUGUGAUAACUAAAUAGAAAAAAGAUUUAAUAUUAAUGAACUAAAUUAAAAAAAAGAUUAUUUAAAAAGAAAAAAGCAAAGAGAAAAAAAACCUACAAGAAGAAAAAAACUAAUGAAGAAAAAGAAAAAAAAUCUGAAUCAACUGGGUUAACCCGUCAAACCCGGGAUCCGUGUCGUGAAAGUCUGAUAAUUAAACAGAAAAAAUUUAAUAUUAAGAAACUAUAGAAAAAAAACUAAAGGCAUCAGCUUUUUCACUGUGGACUACACGGUGCAGUCCACAAUAAAAGGCUUAAAAAGGAAAAGAAAAAGAAAAAAAAACAAAGGCAUACGCCACGGGUUAAUUUUUUUUUCUUGCAUAAAAAAUAUCAAAAAAGGCUAAGAUCUAAAAGUGUUAGGUUUUUCUGCAAAGAUAUAUCCAAGAGCCUUGGGUCUAGCUGCAACGCUUGACCCAAGAGUAAUAUUUAUAAUAUUAAUAAUAAUAUUAAAUUUACAUGACUCAAAUUUAAGUGAGUCUGGCUGCAAAACCGGAUCCAAGAGCCUUGGAUGUGGGUUUGGCUAUAAGAUCGUGUCAUAAAAGUGUGAUAAUUAAAUAGAUUAAUUAAAAAGAAAAAAAACAAAGAAAAAAACCAACAGGAAAAAAAAACAAAUGAAGAAAAAGAAAAAAAAUCUGAAUUAACUGGGUUAACCCUUCAAACCAAGUUAACCCGUCAAAUCUGGGAUUCGAUUCAUGAAAGUUUGAUAACUAAAUAGAAAAAAAAAAUUGACGGGUUAACUCAGAAUUAAUUGGGUUAACCCAUCAAGCCUGGGAUACGUGUCAUGAAAGUCUGAUAAUUAAAUAGAAAGAAAUUUAACAUUAACAAACUAAACUAAACGAAAAAAAUUGAUUAAAAAGAAAACAAGCAAAAAAAAAUUCCGGGUUAACUCGUCAAACCCGAGAUCCGUGUCAUGAAAGUCUGAUAACUAAAUAAAAAAAAAUUCACAUUAACAUACUAAAUUAAACAAAAAAAUUUCAUUAAAAGAAAAAAACACAAAGAAAAAAGCAAACAAAAACCUAUAAAGGCAUAAAAAACAGAAAAAAAACAAAAACAAUUAAAAACAAAAAAAAAACAACUAAGAGUUUCACUGUGCAGUGCACAACUGCACAGUGAAACACUGAUGCAUAAAAGGCGCGGGGAAAGCUACAGUACUUUCCCCACGCCUUUUAGAGUAUUGUUAAUAGUUUACAAGAUAGGUGGUUUGCGGUACAUUUAUAAAUAAUAUGAAUAAUUAUUGUAAUGACAGUUAGUUAAAAGUUAAAUUUGUGAUUGUUUUAAUAUUCCAGUUAGAUUUGGUGUUUAAAUAACUUAGAUUUGAUGGCAAUAACAGAACUAAAUUAUUUGGGUUUAGAGUCUCUGUGGACUUAAGUUUUAUGGGUUUGUUUUUACUACAUAUCUAAGUUAUAUGUGUUUGUUUUUACUAUCUGAUCCAAGUAACUUGAGUCUGAAGUGCCAGCCAGAUCUAAGUUACUCGAGUUUAGUAUUUUUGUCGGAUCCAAAUUUCUAACGUAUAAUAAUAAUAAUAAUAAUAAAAAUAUUUAUAAUAUUAAUAAUAAUAUUAAAAUUAUCUUAACUAAGUUUUUAUAGUUUUUAAUUCCUUCAAAUUAAAUUUAUGGUUUUUCUUCGACAGCAACAAUUUUUUUUAAAAUUUAUUAUUAAUAAUAACAAUAAUUAUUAUUUUUACCCUUCAAAUUAAAUCUAUGGUUUUUUUCAAUAGUAAUAUUUUUUUUUCAAAUUUAUUAAUAAUUAUAUUAAUAAUAAUAUUUAAAAUAUUAAUAAUAAUAAUAAACAUAUCUGACCCAAGUUCUUAUAAUUUUUAAUUCUACCCUUCAAAUCAAAUAUAUGAUUUUUCUUCGAUAGUAAUAAUAUAUAUUUUUUAAAAAUUUAACAACAAAAACAACAAUAACAAUAAUAAUUUUUAAUUUUAUCUUUUAAAUCAAAUAUGGUUUUUUCUCAAUGAUAAUAAUAUUUGUUUUUAAAUUUAUUAAUAAUACUAAUAAUCAUGAAAAUAAUAAUAUUAAAUAUAUCUUAUCCAAGUUUGAAAGGGUGUGCUUGCUCGGGAGAAGAGGGAAAUGGAAUAUUGAAAGGGAAAUUUGGGUUACAAAACUUAGGCUAAAAAGAAGAAGGGGAAGGCAAAGGUAAAGGAAAUUGGUGUUUGGAGAGAACGAAAAUAUAUCGCUAUAGAAAUAGUUUCGAUGUAAAAUUUAAUUAAAAAAAAAAAACUAAGAGUUCAAAUAUCAAGAGAAUGGGGGUGAGUUUUUUUAUUAAGGGUUUGUUUGAGAUUGUAAUAGCGAUUACGGUUUAAACUGACUUUUAUUUAGAAAUGUAUUAAAACAAAGUUUUUUUUAUAUUUUAAAAAUUGUUUUUAAUAUCAACACAUCAAAAUGAUCUAAAAACAUAAAAAAAAAAUUAAUUUUAAAUAAAAAAAUUUCUAAAAUUUAUAGAAAAACAAUUUACAUCGCUUUUCCAACCUAGAAUUUGUUUAGAGAGACGCCAAGACAUAAUAGUCAGAUGCAUUUCCAACCCUUUGCUCAUAAUAGUCACUGACUCCUUUUCUUGAAAAGCUCUGAUACCAAACAAUUGCUAGUCAUUAAUUUCCACAGCUUUUAAACUUUUUACAUUUUCUUUUGAUAAAUGACCCGUAAAUUCAUUACAAGAAAGGUCCACAUGAUAUGUCAAGAAUCCAAAAUGUUCAAGGAAUAUAUUAUUUGAUGUUUUGAUAAUAAUAAUUUUUUUUAAUUUUAACAAUUUGAUAUAUUUGGUAGCUUGUAUUUGAUAGCCCUGAUAUUUUUACCUUUGUUUUAAUUUUUUUUUUGCUACUUUUACUGUCUAUCCAUGGUUUAGUAUCAUGUGAGUAUUUCUUAUUACUGAAAUUUGAAACAAUAUUAAUUGUUUUAAUUCUAUAACGAUUAAAAAUGUAAUUUUUUGUUUUUUUAUUCAAUUUUUAUUAUUUUUCUAUAAAACAUAUUUUAAAGAAUAUAAAUUAUUUAUAAGAUUUGAAAAUAAAAAUUAAUUUUAGAGAAUAAAAAAAAAACAAAAAUUAAUAAGAUCAAACAAAUAAAUGACGGCUUAGCUGCACCAAGGCCUAGCGCCAAGGCGUAGAAGCUCAGCGCGACUAGACAAACAAAUAUUAAUAAAUUACAUAGUUUUGAAACCCGGCCGAUCUGGGGCUGGAAACGGGUCGGGUUGAAGAAAAAACAGGAGAAGAAAAAACCCGACGGGUUGACUUUUUUUUUAAUACUAAAACGACGUCGUUUUGAUUUAAAAAAAAGAAUUAACCCGGACGACCCGAUGACCCAGUCAAAACCCGGGACCCGGGCCUUGAACCAGGCCGGGUUCGAACACUAUGAUAAACUAUCAAUUUUUGUUCUCAAAACUCAAUUCUUUCACCAUUUUACCAACAAAAUAAUUCAAGAUCAUUCAUCAAGCUCUUAAGAACCCAAUUUCAACUAUAAAACUCAUUUUAAUUAAUAAAAAGAAAAAAAAAUAAAAACUCCAAAUUAAAUUAAAAAAAAUCAAUUAUAUUUCAAGGUUCAAUCUCUUUUUUUUUUUUUAACAAUUUCAAGAUUAGGAAUCACCAUCAAUAAAUACCUCUUACCAUGAUAAAGCUAUUCGACACCAAAAUGAACAAUUGUUGGGCUACUAAGGUGCUAGCAAAGUUCAAAAUGUAAUUGAUGAAAACGACCCACAUGCAAUUUUUGUCAAAACUUGUUAAACAAAUUCUAAGAAAUACCACCCAAAAAUGAAGGAAGUGCGAGAUGAUCUUGUUCAUUUUUAUUACUAAUUGAUGAGUAAAAUGUUUUAUACAUAACAAAUGACAAGUAACUUUAUAAAGGAUUUCCCAUGAAGCUGGGUUCAUAAGGAGGUUUAAGAGCUCAUUUGUUUUAUAUUUUAAAAGUGUUUUUGAAAUAAAUUGAAAUGAAUUUUUUUAUGUUUUUAAAUUAUAUUGAUGUGCUGAUAUUAAAAAUAAUUUUUUUUUAAAAAAAAUAUUUUAAUAUAUUAAAAAAACAUUUUAAAAAACAAUUAUUAUCAUACUUUUAAAUACCCUCUAAAUAUGUAGUUUUCAUAUGAGUUUGUUGCGUCAUCAAUUUUGAUUGUGGAUGACUGAACCCCAUGUCUUUCUUGAAUAAACCUUAUCAAUGGCUUUGAUGCUAGAGCAGACAGAGUUGGACUUGGGAAAAAAAUUACCAUGAAGUUAGGUUUGGAAAGAAUUACCAUGAAAUCGACGCUAAAGUAAAUCUAUUCAGAGAGUUUACCAGGCAAAACAUUCAUUGAUGUUGUGAGGAUUUGGUGAUGGAUGUGUUUGGAGAUAGAGGUAAGAGUUCUCUGAACUUGUACCAUUGCGAUAUAAUGAAUUUUUUUUUUAAUUAACAUGGAUGUCCGAGUUAGUUUGUAUGUACCUCGAUUAAUUUUAUGGACCCUGAAAUUAACGACUAUAUAAGCAUCCAGUGACCCUGAAGGAACUUGAACUCAUAACCAUUUGAAAGCAAAUUCAAAGUCUAACCAAUUAGCCAAGCCUUUAGUCGCCUUGAAAGAACUUAAACUUAUAAUCAUUUAGAAGUAAAUUCAAAACCUAAACAUUUGAGCCACCACUCAAAGUUAAAUUUUUUUUUUCUAUGGACGUAGGGAUAAUCAAGAUGUGAAACUAUUUAUUUGUGUAUGAUUGUUUUUUUAGUUUUUAAGAUGUUAUUCUCUUUAUCAGGUUGUAUGAUCUAAGAUUAAUUAGUGACAAAGCUUCAUAUUUGUUAUUUAGUUUUUAUUUGCGCUAAUCAUCAUAUAUGUCAUUGAUGACUUUUUUUUACUUGUAUAAAUAUACAAAUGAGGAAUAAUUAAUCUAAAAAAAUCAUCAACUUCUUACACAUCUUUUUUUUAUUGCAUUUUUUUAAAAACAGUGUUGUUGACCAUUUUUAUUUGUAUAAGUGUGAAAUAAUUAAUCCACAAAAAUCGUCAACUUUUUAUCCACAAAAUAGUAGAUGGUAGCCUGUUUGGAAGUGUGGUUGCGGUUAUUUUUUUAAGUGUUUUUUAUUCUGAAAUGUAUCAAAAUAAUAUUUAUUUUUUAAAAAUUAUUUUUGAUAUCAUCGCAUAAAAAUAAUAUAAAAACACCAAAAAAAUAUUAAUUAAAAAUAAAAAAAAUAAAAAAAUUAUCAAUUUUUUUUAAAAACACUUUUUAAAUGUAAAAACAAACAUGGCCUUAAGGCUGUACGUUAUCACUAUUUUCUGUGUAUAUAUACGCGUGUAAAAAUGUUUUCAACAUAGUAAAAAUUGCAUCAUAAAUAAUUGUAAUAUUUCAUAUGAAAGAAUACUUUAAGAAUAAUUUUUAUUUAUUUAUUUAAAUAACUAACUCAGAUUGAAUCUCUUAAACAUUUUCAAUUUGGGAGUUUUUAAUUCCCUGAAAUGACGAAUUCUUUAUCCUCCCCAACAUUUUCCAACCAGAAAUCACAUUUCCCGAGCCACUGCAGCGUCCAUCAAAAGAAGAAGUUAGUAUUUACAAGGGGAUGAAUAAAGCCUUGAGAAGAGUGGCAAUGCAACUCUCCUUGACGCCAUUGUUGAAGCGGUCCAAGAAUAUUUCUCCAUGAGAUUUGUCCAAGAUGACCUUUCCUGGAAGCUUUAUAUUAUUUUAUUAUAUACUAAGUCAAUGAGAUAUUGAUGAAGUGAGAAAUGAGUGAUGUUCAGUGUUUUGGAAGUCAUUAUUCUCCACCUUAUAUUUCUGGAGACGGGGAAAAAACCAAGAAGAAAGGUUGUAAAAUUUUCCAACGACAUGUCAUUUUCCUUGGAUUUCCAGAGGAUGCUUGCACCAAACCUCACAUAGUGUAGUGAAAUGCAAGAUCUCCAGAGGCUGUGAAUCGCCAGUCGUUCGCUGAUUUGAACACUGAGGUGCAUGUAUUGGAAAACGGAGCUCUGAGACAAAUUUCUACCUUCAAUUUCCAUCACCUUAUAGACUUUUCGAAGCUGUCAAUGACGUUUAUAGUCUGUUUCUUGCAUUAUCACAAGUGAGAACCUAAUGCGCAUAAAAUUCUAUUUCACUGUAUGAAAAUAGGGUGAGCUUUUAUAUAUCAGAAAAGGAAAAUUGGAUCCCAAUAAAUAAAGAUUACUAAUAAUAAUAAUAAUAAUAAUAAUAAUAAAGAAUUUUAAAAGUUUCAUUUAAUUAAUUAUAAGAUUCAAUAUUCAGAUUAUGAUUGAAUGAAUUAAAAAAAUUAAUUUUCUGUUGUUGAUAUUCAACGAUGCAUCUUCUAGAGGAUGUGGAAGUUGUAAAGUAAAGAUAGUUGCAGAAUGUGUAAAGGGGACAACGAGCACAACUGGACAAGAAUAGCCAGCCAAGUUGACGAUGACUCUGAGCCUGAGGAGGUAUGAGGUUGUAUUUUAAAGUAUUUUUUAUUUAAAAAUAGAUUAAAAUAAUAUUUUUUAUUAUUUUUUAAAUAAUUAUUUUUGAUAUUAUUAAAUUAAAAUGAUUUGAAAAAAUAUAUAAAAAAUAUUAAUUUAAAAUAAAAAAAUAAAAAAAAUAAUUUUAUUAAAAAAAACUUUUAAAAUACAAAACUAAACAGUACCGAUAUAUAUAUAUAUAUAUAUAUAUAUAUAUAUAUAUAUAUAUAUAUAUAUAUAUAUAUAUAUAAAUGAUAAAGACAACGGCGGUCAUCACAGAGAUGGCUAAUGGACCUUCUCUGCAAAAAAGAUCUGAAUCAGUAUAGCUACACUGGAAGGUUACAAGAGAACCUAAACCAUGAUGAUAUUUAACACAUGCUCAGGCUUGAUGUGAUGACAAUUAUUUAUUUAUUAUAUUUUUUUUUGUGCUAGAUGAUCGGAUAAAUUUUUUUCUAACAAUUUUUUUUUAAAAUAGUGAUAAUAUGAAAGAAUAUGAGUUACCUUGAAUAAUUCAUGAUUUAGAAUAAUUCAAGAGGAAGGAAGAAGAAAAAAAAAAUCAAGCUCCAAUAGUCUAAAGUCUAAUGAUAAAAUUAAAAAAAAAAUCAAAAAAAUCAAAAUUAAAUUGGGCUAAUAUUUGAAACAUGUAAUUUUAGUCAUGAGACCGAGUUGACCAUAUAGAAGACCAAAAACAAUCUCGAACAAAAUUCUAAAUCAUGUCAACACCCGUUAAUUUUAUUUUGCCAUUAUUUUUUUUAUCAAAAUAAUAUCAUUUUUACUUUCCGCACAAUAAAAAAUCUUAUUGAUCCUGGUAACCCUAGUUAUUCGACCCAACCCGUGAACCUGGACAUGACGGGGUAGACUCCCGAGCCAAUUUUUAAAAACAUAAUAAAAAAAUAAGCACCAAAUAUAAUAUGAAAAUUCAAUGAAAUUAAACAAUGAGACAUAAAAUUUCCACAAAACAAUCAAACAAGAAGAGAACUCAAAAUAAAAGAAAUUACAAUUAUAAAAAUGAGAAUCAAAUUCAAGAAAAAAAAAUUAAAAUCAAAUGAUUAGGGAUUAAAUGAAAAAAUAAAAUCCAAUCAGAAAAAUAUUAAAAGCAAAAUAAAUAGAAAUAAAAAAAAUGAGAAAUUGUAAUUGAAAAACAAUGCUAGUGAUUGAAAAACAAGUUUUUGUUAAAACAAUCAAGAUAAAUAUUAAUAAGAAAAUGAACUUUAAAUUAUAGAAAUACAUUUUUCCUACUCAUUUCUAUGGUUACAUUUUUUUUACAAACCUUUGUUGAUGCUUUUUAUUGAAAAAAAUACUAAAAUAAAAAAUUAUAUUUUUGUUUUUAAAAAGAUUAUGAUUUUUUCAUAAUAAUAUUAUCAAUUAAUUUAUGAAUAACUAUUUAUUAGCCGUAUAUGUAGAAUAUUUAAAAUAAUAUGUUCAUUAAUAAUAAAUUAAAACAAAAUAUUAGUUUUUUUAUUUUCUAAUUAUAUAUAUAUUAUAUAUAUAUAUAUAUUUAUUUUUCUCAUUUAUUUUUCCAUAUAGUUUUGGAAGAUCAUCAAUUCAUAUUUUUUUAAUUUAUUAAUUGAUGCUAGUUUUCACUAUUACAAUUAGUGUUUGCUUAAAAAAAAUCUCUUCACGAAAACAAAACAUGUUUUUGUCAAAAGUGAAAAACAAAUAUGAGUGAAUAAGAAAAUGUAUUUUUUUUAAUUAAAAACAUACUUUUUUGACUUUUCAUUUCAAUUUUGUUAAGUUUUUCCAAACUUUUUUUUAGUUGUUGUUUUUUAUUUAAUUAACUAUGAUGCUAAUAAAAAAACAAUUUUUGUUGUUAAAAAAAUACAUAAAUAAAAAAAAGAUAAUUUUAAUAAAUGGUCUUCGAGAGAAGGUAACACAUCCAUUUAUAGGGAUUUGUUUUUUGCAAAACCAGUACUAUAUUUUAUCAAACAAUUAUUUUAACUUAAUAAUUUAAAUUGUUAAAUAAAAUCUCAAAAUAUAAUUUAUAUUAUUCUCUAAUAUACCCUCUCAAGUGAUAGCUUUUUGGACUUAAAAUUUACACGGACUCACAUUAUCUUAUAUUUAAUUUUUAUCAAAUAAAUAGGGAUAAUGAGAUUCAAAAUUGUAACUGCUUGAUCAUCAAAUCUCUAAUAUCAUGUAAAAGAAUCAACUCAACCUAAUAACUUAAAUUAUUAAAUAAAAUUAUAAAAUAUAAUUUAUAUUAUUAUGACAAUUUUAUUUCAUAUCACUUCCUAUAAAGGGUUUGUCUCUGUUUAAUUUGUGGUAUCAACACUACAAACCCACUCAAACCACUUGAAUUGUCAAGGGAAAAGAUCCAUCAAUGGCUUUACUACAAUGGCUGAAAGAAUGCUCCAAACCUACCUUGCUCGUUGUAACUAUUUUUCUAGUAGUAGUGCUCAAGUUUCUCAUGAAGGAGAAGCUGAAAAAGAGGAAGCUCAAUCUCCCACCAAGCCCUGCAAAAUUGCCAAUCAUUGGUAACCUUCACCAGCUUGGUAAUAUGCCUCACAUCUCUCUCCGAGGGCUUGCCAAGAAGUAUGGUCCCAUCAUUUUCUUACAGCUUGGGGAGAUCCCAACUGUAGUGAUUUCAUCAGCUGGAUUGGCAAAAGAAGUCCUGAAAACUCAUGAUCUUGUACUCUCCAGCCGUCCGCAGCUCUUUUCGGCCAAACACUUGUUCUAUGGUUGCACUGAUAUUGUUUUUGCUCCUUAUGGUGCUUACUGGAGGAAUAUAAGGAAAAUUUGCAUACUUGAGCUACUCAGUGCCAAGCGUGUCCACUGGUACAGCUUUGUUAGAGAAGAAGAAGUUGCUCGCUUGAUUCGUCGGAUUGCAGAAUCUUAUCCUGGCAUCACCAAUCUAAGCUCGAUGAUUGCACUAUAUGCCAAUGAUGUUCUUUGUCGGAUUGCGCUAGGAAAGGAUUUCUCUGGAGGAGGAGAGUAUGAUCGGCACGGGUUCCAAAAGAUGCUCGACGAUUAUCAAGCAUUGCUUGGAGGAUUCAGUCUUGGAGACUAUUUUCCUUCGAUGGAGUUUGUGCACAGUCUGACUGGAAUGAAAUCGAAACUCCAGUACACCUUCAGACGGUUUGAUCAGUUCUUCGAUGAGGUGAUAGCUGAGCACCGCAGUUCUAAGGGAAAACAAGAGGAGGAGAAGGACCUUGUUGACGUUCUACUUGAUAUUCAGAAGGAUGGAUCUUCUGAAAUUCCUCUCACCAUGGAUAACAUUAAAGCUGUCAUCUUGGUCAGUGAAGAUUUUAUUGGUCUAGUUAUACCUUCAAGGCUUCAACUUCAGUGUUCCAAGCAUCAAAUUACUUGUAGAUGAGUUCAUUUGCACACAAUUUACAACUAAAGGGUAUAAUUAUUGCUCUAUUGUUGCAGG
rnacentral:lncRNA from 1 species